rnacentral:rRNA from 1 species
CUACGGAGGGUGCAAGCGUUGUUCGGAAUUACUGGGCGUAAAGGGCGCGCAGGCGGUUUGGUAAGUCAGAUGUGAAAGUCCACGGCUCAACCGUGGAAGUGCAUUUGAAACUGUCAGACUUGAGUACUAGAGGGGAAAGUGGAAUUCCCGGUGUAGAGGUGAAAUUCGUAGAUAUCGGGAGGAAUACCGGUGGCGAAGGCGACUUUCUGGCUAGAUACUGACGCUGAGGCGCGAAAGCGUGGGGAGCAAACAGGAUUAGAAACCCCGGUAGUCC